AGUGAACGCUGGCGGUAGGCCUAACACAUGCAAGUCGAACGGCAGCACAGUAAGAGCUUGCUCUUACGGGUGGCGAGUGGCGGACGGGUGAGGAAUACAUCGGAAUCUACUUUUUCGUGGGGGAUAACGUAGGGAAACUUACGCUAAUACCGCAUACGACCUACGGGUGAAAGCAGGGGAUCUUCGGACCUUGCGCGAUUGAAUGAGCCGAUGUCGGAUUAGCUAGUUGGCGGGGUAAAGGCCCACCAAGGCGACGAUCCGUAGCUGGUCUGAGAGGGUGAUCAGCCACACUGGAACUGAGACACGGUCCAGACUCCUACGGGAGGCAGCAGUGGGGAAUAUUGGACAAUGGGCGCAAGCCUGAUCCAGCCAUACCGCGUGGGUGAAGAAGGCCUUCGGGUUGUAAAGCCCUUUUGGUGGGAAAGAAAAGCAGCAGGUUAAUACCCCGCUGUUCUGACGGUACCCAAAGAAUAAGCACCGGCUAACUUCGUG
rnacentral:rRNA from 1 species